UACGUGGGGUGCGAGCGUUAAUCGGAAUUACUGGGCGUAAAGCGUGCGCAGGCGGUCUGUUAAGACCGAUGUGAAAUCCCCGGGCUUAACCUGGGAACUGCAUUGGUGACUGGCAGGCUUUGAGUGUGGCAGAGGGAGGUAGAAUUCCACGUGUAGCAGUGAAAUGCGUAGAGAUGUGGAGGAAUACCGAUGGCGAAGGCAGCCUCCUGGGCCAACACUGACGCUCAUGCACGAAAGCGUGGGGAGCAAACAGG
rnacentral:rRNA from 1 species